UGUGUACUCCCUCCGUUCCAAAAUACUUGACUUCCAUUUGUCCAAAAAUGGAUGUACCUAUAUACUAAAACAUGUCUAGAUACAUAUAUAUUUUGACAAAUAGAAGGCAUGUAUUGUGCAACGGAGGGAGUAGAAU
rfam:Triticum aestivum genome assembly, contig: Triticum_aestivum_CS42_TGACv1_scaffold_321290_4BL